UACAGAGGUCCCAAGCGUUGUUCGGAUUCAUUGGGCGUAAAGGGUGCGUAGGUGGCGUCGUAAGUCGGGUGUGAAAUCUCGGGGCUUAACUCCGAAACUGCAUUCGAUACUGGCGACCUUCGAGUCCGGGAGAGGUGAGUGGAACUGCGAGUGUAGAGGUGAAAUUCGUAGAUAUUCGCAAGAACACCAGUGGCGAAGGCGGCUCACUGGCCCGGUACUGACACUGAGGUGCGAAAGCGUGGGGAGCAAACAGG
rnacentral:rRNA from 1 species